AGAGAAAGAAAGAAUGGAAAAAAAAAAGCCCCAAGAAGCAGCCGCCGCACAGAGGUUAUCCGGGGGACAGAGCAAAUAAUUGGCGAGGCGAACAAUGCAUUUUAAUUAAACCUCUGCAGGAAACGAGGGGAGGGAAUCAAGUUAAUUGCACGGAGCGGGAGCAGGAGAUUAAAAAUGCUCUUUGCUCAGAAGAUGGUGGCUCCCAUCCGCCUUUGCCGAGGAAAACAAGGCCACCUGGGGUGGCAGUGCCGGCGUGGGGACACGCAGCUCGCUGGCUCUGCCGGAGCUCGGUGUGACAGCAGGGUCUGGGGGGAUCGUGCUGAUCCUCUCUGCCAAGGGGCUGGAGGUGCCCGGUCCACAGGGAUGGGUGCAGGAUGAGCCUGGGGUGUGGGAGCCGCUCCUGGGAAGUCCCACAGGGAUGGGGACAUUGCUUGUGUCUGCAGGAAAAGGAUCACGAGAUGUGUCCCAGGGGAUGUGUCCCAUAACUGCUCAGCCCUUCCCCUGCUCCGUGCCCUCUGCUCAGCCCAGGCUGUUCCUGGCACUCUCCCCAUGAAAAACCACCAGCUUUUACAUUUUCCUCCUCAUGAUACUUCAAAUUUCACCUCUCUCUGCUUGGGGCCCUAUAUUUUUCUCAACUACUCCCUUUCCUGAUCUUUCAAUCCCUUGUCUUCACCCCACCCUGGACACCACAAACGGAGAGACCCCGACUCGCUGCCAGCGAGCCCCAGAAGAGCAGCACAUCCACAGGCUGCCUUCCUGCUCAAGAGAGCCAACAGGAUCACAGGCUGCUGUAAAAGACAGGGGCAGGACCGAGCACCCCACUGCUGACACGGGGCAGCGCUCCCAUCCCCUGGGCACCCAUCCCCAGGCCAGGAGGCACCAACCUCUGCUCCGAGGCAAUUUGUGAGCUCAGAACCCUGCCCUGCCUCCCACCGCCCGCUAAUGAGCCCCAUACCCAUCCGCCUGCCAUGAGAACAGCAAUCAGCACCGCCGCUCGCCUGCUAGGAACAAUCUCCCUCCUCUCCUCCUCUGCAUAAAUUUCCCAGGCUGUGGUUUUCAGCCUCUUAUCCCACAUAGCUUUAUUCACAAGAGAUGUCCCACUGGGGGUAAGGAAAUUACUCCAGCGAGGAAAAUUGCCCGGGCACGGGAUGCACACCCAGGGCACCACACGAGGGGCUGGGGUGGUUUGGUUUUUUUGCACAGCAUCGAAACCAAAAUAAAUCCACGGAGGGAACUCAGAGCCAAGCCUUGCUCCUGACCACGGGUAAGAGCCAGACAAAUUAUAGCAAUUAAAAAGAAGAAAGAGGCAUGUGGACUUUCAUAUCCACAAACCUCAGGACGCAGCCGGUGGGGGAGAGAGCAUUUCCCAGUCACACACAGGCAGCAAAGCCGACACACAUCACAAAAUACACCGUGUUCUCAGAGGCACAAGCUGUCCCUCCAGGCUCCGGUGGCACGAGGCUGGGACAGCCUGUCCCUGCACAGGAUGGCUGUCAGCAGCAGGACACAGGCUGUAUUGUCCCCAGAGCUGGAGAUUGAAUUGCAGGUUGGCCCUUCCCGCUGUGCACAAGCGCUGCCCUGAUGGGAAACGAGAGUUCAGCCGAGAUCUUCCGCUUUUCCCCUGCAGCUGCAGGCGGACAGGCAGGAAAACCACAGAGUUCUGCUCAAAUGCUCACACCGAGCAGCUUUCCAGCCAGAGAAACGCUGCUGCUUCACCACAUGCUUAAAUUGCAUGUUGGGAGGGAGGAAAUUGCCCGCUAUUUUCACCCCAAACCUGUGUCAGAGCCAGGAGGUGAAGCCUGUCAUGCUGACAGCGAGAUGGCUGCAGCAUCCCCAGGCUGUUUGUUCAACAGGAGCAUCCAAAAGGGAAUAAGGCUGGAUUAAACUCAGCAUCCCCAAGAAAGUGAGGGGAGGAGGGGCAGAAACAGCAGCCCCAACCCAAAAUCCCAUUCCCAGACACCCCCUUGCUGCUGCCUCUCCAUCACUCCUGGGGCUGUCUCAACCCUCCUGGGGGUAUCCACGGCACCCCUGGAGAUCUGCAAAGAUCCCUGGCUGCCAGCAGGGCAGUGGGAACACUCCUCUGCCUGCCACGCUGCAGGGACAGGGACAUUUGGCAGCUGCCUGCCGGGAAGGUGUCUGGAGCGCUGUGGGAACAUGAGUCAGAGCUCCCUGCUCUCCCUGACGUCUCCCUCCUGCUCAUUUAUUCACCACGUCAAAUAUUUGCCCUGCGCAGACCUGCGUUAUCCAGGAGGGGGGUUUUUUCCCUUCUGCUGGCAGUGACAGCUUCGAAAAAGCCACCACAGUGCCAUCUUGGGAAACUUGACCACCCAGCGAAGCAGUUCCAGCAUCCUUUUCCUCGCCUGCUCCAGGGACCGGCUCCUGUUCAAGCAGCCAUCCCCUCUGUGAGGGAUGGAGGGGCUGGAUGCCAAAACCCACAGGCUAAAGCAACAACCCACGGGUCUGUGGAGGGAAAAGGUCAUUUCAGACCCACUUCCAGCACGGCCUGAGUGACAGUAAAGCUGGGAGCCUGCGGGAAGCGAGCAGUGGCCCUGCUGUCCCCUCAUGUCCCCGAACAUCCUGCCUGGAAGCGGCACACGCAGUGGCAGGAGAGGCCAGCCAAGGAAAACUGCUCAAUUUUGCCUCCCUUCGGCAAGGAAGUAGCUUUGCUGGCUGCCAGCCCCACAGCACUCCCCUGAGGACCUCAGUCUUCUUUUUUUUGAGCCAGAUCCCUGGAUUUCUUGCUGCAAGGGCUGCUCACACCCUGAAUUCCCGAUCCCCAGGGAGAAGGAAAGGUGUUUAUCUUUGAAAGCUAAAGGCUGGAGAAGGUGACCUUGAGCAGAGAUGACACAAGAGAAUUCAUGUCCCACCUGGCCCCAAGGGAUUUUUAUCCCAGGGUUGCAGCCAAAAAUGUCCCAUUUCAUGGAGAAAGUGCAGAAAUGGCUCAUAAAGCACAAGCUUGGGGAUGCAGCUGAGCAGAUCAGCUGCCAGAUAAAGACAGCGUGCUCUGGGGGAAAACACACCUGCUUCCAUCCUGGCUGGGAAAGGAGGAGGAAAAUCUCCCUUCACUCUCCAUUCCCAGCAAGGACACACACAAAGCUUUCACCUUUUGCAACAGCUUCCCAGGAUCAGGGCUGUCAUUUUUUGAUGGUGGGGACUCCAGAGCCUGCUGGUCCCAAGCCAGCCGGCUCAGCAUUCCUCCUCUUCCUUGGGAAGCCAUGAUGCAUGGAAAAGCCUUAGGGCUGGAAAAAAAACCACAAAAAGCUUCUGCAGUGCUGUCAGAAAUAGCACCAGGAGAGAAGGGAACUGCCUGCUGGGUUUGGCCCCCUCAGUCCUGCAUCCUGCUCCAUCCCUGAGCUCCAUCCCCAGCCAGCUGCAGAGGGAGAGAAAGCAUGCGGAUUUUCUGGGAUUUUCCAGCUUAGCCAGUGUUUACAGAGCUGCCCAUCCCUCUUUGCUUGCAGAGGAGCAAGUUUGGCUGAGCCCAAGGCCAAGGACUGCUGGAAGAUAUGUUCAGAGUCCUUUGGGGAAACCAGCAGGGGGUAAAAACAACUCAGCCAAGACACCCCCCGUGUCUCCUGGCUGGACAAGGAGCUGCAGUGACCUUGUCCAAACAUGGCCUGGAGUUGGGAGUGAGGACGGAGAGGAUGUGACUCACAUCUGGGAUGUGGCCACAGAGGACAGAUGUGUUUUAUUACUGUCCAGCCCCUCUCUGCAGCUCUGUCUCAGUGACUCAGCCUUGCCUUUGGGCCUUUCCUAAAGGAGCUACAGCACAGCCCUUCCCAGCAGCUUCCCUCUGCUGCAGGAAAAUGGAUUUGGGAAAUUCAGGCUCCUGCAAAGGGGAAAAACAAAUAAAUUAAAACAAAUCAAAGUUAUGUUUCUCCAUGGGAAUAGUCCAAUUUUAAUUGUAAAUCAUUCAGAGAAGGAUGAAAUCAAAUGUUUUAGUGGUAGGAUUCAUCUCUCUGUGUUUAGAGACUUAAAAGCUGAACAUGCCCCAGUCCCAGUGGGAAGGACAGUGAGGAGUCCCCUGGGUUUUCUUGGACACGUCCCACAGGGCAAGAGGAAACAUCUGGAGAUGUUGCAUGUCUGGAGGGAGGAAUAAGGGGAUUUCAGCAGGUCUGCUUCCCACAAUCCUGAGGAAACUCAGCAGCAUUCAGCGGAGAGAGCUGCAAAGCACUGAGACCAGGCAGAGCCCCCAUGUGUUAGACACCAGAGAAUCUAAAGGGGGGAGCUCUGCAGCCAGCUGGGCACUGCUCGUCGUUUCUGGGCCUUCCCGUGGAAUCCCGACACAGCUUCCCCACCCUGGGAAGGGCUUCCCUUCCCACAUCAACCCCCAAAGAUCCUUGGGCACCCUUACCUUCGCUAUUUACCCACCGCUGCCACCGGGUACCGAGGGAGGCACGGGGUGACGGCCCUGCCCAGACCCCCCUUCCCCACCCGUGCUUUUCCCAGCGGGAAAGCAGCUGGAGCACAUCAGCCGGGCGGCUUUUCCAGCCUCGUCCCGGCCUUGAGGGCACCGGGAGCCAAAGCUCCGUGAGCCCCGCGGGGCCAAGCGCUGCCCGGCCCGGGAGCCAGCCGUGCAGUUCUCCUGGCAGACACUGGAUGGGGCUACGAAACCGGCUGCAGGCACAGCUGGCACGGCCGGGGGGCACAACGGCCUCUGCCAGAUGUUUUGGGGUCCCUCUUUAGGGGUGGCGGGCUGGCCGUGCCACAGCUGCCACCACCCAGGCGGGAUGCCGGGCCUGGCACCAGGUGACAUCAAUCCGGGCUCCACCUCUCUGGACGCCGAGUGAGGAUCCCGCAGCACCUGGGGAAAGCUGGAGGCUUCACCUCCUGAGGCUUCACCUCCUGAGGCUUCACCUCCAGAGGCUUCACCUCCUGAGGCUUCACCUCCAGAGGCUUCACCUCCUGAGGCUUCUCCAUGUCCUGAGCGCGGGGAUGGGAAGGGAGAGCAAAAGCUGCUGCCUUGCAAAGUGCUGAUGAAGAUUUCUGCUGCAGUUACAAGGUGAGCUGCAGUCAGCAAGCUGGAGAUCUCCAUGCCAGCCGUGGUGGAAGCAGAGAUCGGGGGCACAGCCACUUCUACAUCCCUGAAGAUGCUUCCUACACCUACAUCGACUGGUUCUGGAUCAGAAGUCAACAGCAGAGAGCCAAGGGGUGAUCACUGUGGCCAUCAUCGUGGAGGUUGUGCUGGGUGCUGUCAUCUUCCUGCACAAUAAAGGCAAGAUUUCAUAAAUAAAGGCAGGAGAGAGCCCCUGCCUGGCUCUGCACACCUCACACCCCCUCCUCUCCCCUCAGAACUGAAGAGUGAGAAAUCCAUCGCUCUGGAAACUUUCUGUGUGCCUGCUACCUUCAAACCCUUCCUGCUCUUGGAUUUCCUUCUGCCAGCCCUGCUCCAGCCCCUCGGGUGUCACCUGGCCGUGUCUGAACCUCUCAGGUGCUGCUUGAGCAGCAAAGCUGGAUCCAUUCUCUGUUCUGGAGAAGCCACAGCAAUAUCAGGGAAAAUGAUCCCAUUAAUCCCUGCUUGUGGAAGGACGUGAAGCUUUUUCAGAUCAUUCCUUGUGCUGCCACUGCCUGUUAAAGGGAUGGCACAGAGCAGAGUGAGCCUGCUCUGGGGGUGCAGAACCUGAGGACAAAUCCCACCCAGGACUGUCUCAGUGGCUCUGUUCUCAGCAGCUUUUUUUCCCAUGGGAUGCAUCUGCUGGAGUGCAGGGAAAAUAAAGAUCCCCUGAAACUCCCCAUUAAAUUGAAUAAUAAAACAUUGGUGUAUCCUAUCAAGUAAAAAGACAUCUUUUAUCGUGGAAGAACUGGUUUGGAAUUCUACACAAACUGGGGAAAGGAGGGACCUGGCCUCCCUUUGGCAGCUAAGAGAGGGAAUUAAUGUCAGAAUUGUUAUCACACCUUGCCCAGCAGCAGCAUUGGAAUGAGAUUUUUAUACACUGAACUCUUCAUUAUAUUUUUCUGAGGUCACAGGGGGUACUUGAGGUCAUUGGAGGGUCUUAAAAUUGAUCCAGGGGUUAUUUGAGGUCAUUUCAGCCCCUGUUUGGGGUUACUUGAAGUCACAGAGGUCAUUUGAGGUCAUUUGAGACACUGGGGUUACUCGAGGUCACAGGGGUCAUUUGAGGUCAACUGAGACCCUCUUCAGGUUUACUUGAGGUCA